CGCAAAUCCCCUGCUUUAAUUUCUCCACUCCACCCAACUCCCUCGCCGCUCAGCGGCUCGGCCAACCCAACCAACUCCCUCGCCGGCGGCCCCUCCGCCUCCCCUGAUUCCCCUAGACGCCGGCUUCAAGGUCCUCGCCAUCUGGAGCGCGCCUGGAGCUGGGCGCCCCCGUCGACGCUGCAGUCGUGGGCGACGGCCGCCAUGUCUCCCUCCACCCGCCUCAAUCUCUGCCUCGACGCACCAGUCCUGGGCGACGGCCCAAGCUGCAGCAGCAGCAACAACAGAGGCCGGCGUUAGAGGUGGAGAACCUCCUCCAUAGCGUCCUUGUCCCGCCACCGUGGCUCGCCCCGGGGAGACAAUGAGGGAGGAGAUGGUGGUCGCCUUCCCGGAGAUGCGGCCGCCGGCGACCUCCUGUACAACCUCCCCGAGCUGCGGCCGCCGGCGACGUCCCCGAUCCGCUGCUGCCGGAGACCACUCCGUCCCUCUUCCGUCGGCCACCUCCCCAACUUGCAGCUGCCCGGUGAGGUCCCUCACUACGUACUCUGCUUGCACUUGCCAUUUCAUCUUCAGAUUUGGGUAGCCUGUGUGAUGAUAACAGCAUUGCUUGUCCCCGCAUAUUUGUACUAGACAAAAAAGUUUCUGGAACACAUGUCCUGAUUCAAGAAAAUGUGUGAAUUGUCAAUGGUUAAGAAAGUGAUGAUCUAUAUGCAUGGUCCCAUGCGUUGUUCUUUUGUGUGCAUACUAAUAAGCAAAUAGUAAUUCAGCGCCGGUGUUGUCAUUACAUUCGAAUGCGUACUUCUCCUCUCUAUUUCCUCUGCCUGAAACCUCACUAUCGCCGGAGUUGAUUCAGAUCUGUGCGCGCGCGUGUGUGUCCACUGGGAAUAGGGAGGUGAGCGGGCUCGUGUUGGUCCCGACGGUGCAUUUGCAUCUGAGGGAUAAGAGUGUACAUGUUUUCUACGUAGUGAUCUUGAAGGAGGAGCCAAGUAGGCAAUAUAUAGGUAGUGAUCUCGCAGUUUGGUGGGUUUACUUUUAUAUAAUAAAAUAGAUACUCGAUUUCAUUCCAAGGAAGAUAAUAAUAAGGCGUUCCUCCUGUUCUUGCUACUGAAUACCUCCUAUGCAUGUCAACCUAAAUACUGACUUUUUUACAUCAAUGGUCUUUUUUCUCCCCUGAUAGCGUCUCUGAAGAAAAAAAAAAUCUCUGUGCUGUUCACGGUUGCUGAAUCGAUGUGCUUACCUAGUUUUACCAUCUCACUUGUUUCGAAGCAAGCAGACAAGCAGUGCUAAUAUAGGAGCACGGAAAAUGCAGAACUCUUGCGUCUUGUAGAAACCUGGUUAUCUUUUAUUUCUUUUGAUUUGAAGCAUAUACAUGUAAGCUUGUAUGAUACAAAGUUAACACAAUUGGAUACUACUCCCUCCGUCCAUAAAAGGAUGUACGAGAUGUUUCUAAAUUUGGAUGUAUCAUCUAAAUUUAGACAAACUUGCGACAUCCUUUAUGGGCAGAUGUAGUAUUAUCUUUGUAUGAUCGUAGUUUUAGUACUAUCUCUCACUUGUUUCAAAGCAAACAAAUAACUCAUGGUGUAAUGAACUAAUGAUGAUGAGUGCGAGUACAAGGCUUAGAAAGUUAGAAUUUGGUCUGCAACCUUUACCUUCUUUUGUUUUGAUAUAUAUCCGUGUAGGCUCAUAUGAUUUACAUCUAACAGCUUUUCUUUUGCGUCUGUUUUAAUAUACCAUAAAAGAAAAUUUGUGAUGUUUACAAAUUUCUGAAGGUCUUUCUAGUUUUGAAAUUUUGAUGAAUAUUGUCAACUAACACUUUCUAUCGCGGGACUUGGCGAAGGAACACAUUGAGGACUUUGCUUUGUUAGAUCCAUCAUCAUCCACUAACUCCAUGAAAGAUCCUGCUGAAAGUUCAAACUGAACAAAGCUUUGUACCAUGGGUGCUGAGAAGCAAGAGACCAAUAGUGGUACAAGACAGUGUUGCUGCUUCCUCUGUGUUGGUCAAAACACGUGGCCAGCUCGGUCAGCGGCGUCUAGAAUGUGAAGUGCUGCUGCUAGCCGCUGGAUCUGGCAUGGACAAGAAAGAAGAAAACAUUGUUGGUAGCUGUGAGUUGAAUGUAUCUCUGCACUAGAGCUUCCUAGCAGUUUAGUUAACGCAGCCGCAAGAGCAGCAGGCAGUGGUGUCCUCAGGGACACGCCAUUAGUUGAAUUGGUAUCCACCACUAUGACAACGGCCUUCUCUUAGAUUGCUACAACGACAUCUCUCUCUCGACCCCCUUUCUCCACUCAACUUGCUUACACCGCUGCAGCCUCUUGGUACUGCUCCCCGCUGCUUGUCCCACCUUGCCGCUCAGCGGCAGGCCACCCCACCACACCCACCCUACUCCCUCGCCGCCAGACACCCCCACCCACCCAAUCCCCUCCGGCGCCUGGUUCCCGCACGUCCUCCAUGCCCAAGACGUCGGCGUCAAGAACCUCAACCUAGUGCUGGUCCUUGCCAUCCAGAGCGCCUGAGCUGGGCGCCCCUGUCAUGCCCGCUAUGGUGCCUUAUGUUGACCUUGGCUGACGGCGCCCCUUCACCCCUCCAUACCCCAAUGCACCAGUUGCAGGCAAUGACAGAAGGAGCAGCCUAGACCUCCCGGAGCUUCCGUUAGCCACAUUCUGGAAAACCUCCCGGAGCUGCGGCCGCCAGCAACGUCCCCGACCGCCUGCUGCCAGAGACCAUUCCGUCCAGCCGCCGUCGGCCACGUCCCAAACUUGCAGCUGCUAGGACCCCGUUGAAAGUUCAAACUGAACAGUUUGCACCAUGGGUGACCAAUGGCAGUACAAGAUGGUGCUGCUACCGUGUUGGUCGACACACACUGCCAGCUCAGCCAUAAAGAGCGGAGUCGGAAUGGACAAGAAAGAAGACAACAUUGUUAGUAGCUGUGUGAGUUUAGUGUAUCUCUGCACUACAGCUUACUAUCAGUUUAGUUAACGCAGCCGAAAGAGUAGCAAUCAGUGGUGUCCUCGGUGACACGCCGGUAGUUGAAAUGGUACCCACCACUAUGACGAUGGCCAUCUCAUAAGUUAUGCUUAGGGUCCUUGUUCGGCAGUAU